GCCCUCUUAGCUCAGUGGUAGAGCGCGUCACUCGUAUCUUUAGUACAUGACGAGGUCAGUCGUUCAAGUCGGCUAGGGGGCA
rnacentral:tRNA from 1 species